rnacentral:rRNA from 1 species
CGUGUAGGCGGCGGAGCAUGUCGGGUGUGAAAGCCCUCGGCUUAACCGAGGAAGUGCGCCCGAAACUGCUCUGCUGGAGUGCUGGAGAGGGUAGCGGAAUUCCCGGUGUAGAGGUGAAAUUCGUAGAUAUCGGGAGGAACACCAGUGGCGAAGGCGGCUACCUGGACGGACACUGACGCUGAGACGCGAAAGCGUGGGGAGCAAACA